rnacentral:lncRNA from 1 species
UGGUGGAGGACAAUGGAGGUUGGGGUUACUCGGGAGAACUGAGCAAAGCUCUUCAUUAUUUUUCAAGUUUUUAAUUUUUAAUCUUAUUUUUCAUUUAAAAAUUAAUUGUUUAAAUGACAAGAAACCCUCUCAAAAUCCAUUCAAAUCUUUAAUCAAAAUCUAUAAGAAUCCUUGAAAAUCCAUUUGAAAUCUAUAAUCCUAUCAAAUCUUCACUUUAAAAAGUUUUAAAAUCCUUCUAAAUCCUCGUUUGACUACACCUCUUUUAGAUUUGAUAGUAUUUUUUUUUCCUAAUAAUAUGUUUUUUCCUUUACUUGACAUUGUGUGAUCAAAACCUUCUCUUAUUCUAGAACAUUUUAUUUGAUUUAUUCAAGUUAACUGCCAAGCCAAAAAUAAAAGUCUGUAUACAUGGUAACAGUUGUAUGUAGAAAUUCUCAUUAUUUUCUUUUUUUAAUAUAUUUUAUUUUGGAGUAAUUAGGUUUUCAUCCUUAUUUUUACUACUCUAUUGAUUAAAACCUUAUUACUUUUCAAUUU